rnacentral:lncRNA from 1 species
UACAGCAAACACACACAACCACAAAAAUAACAUUAAAACAUUCGCAAAAGUAUGAUAACCGUUGAAUCAUAAGACAUAGUUCAGAUAGCACGAACGAUAAGCAUACUUUUCUUCAGACCUCAACUUAAACUACAGGUUAACCACCCAAACUUUUCAUCAGUAUUCAACUUAACUACGGAUAGCUUAAAGUAUCUACUACAUACAUCCAAAAGGUAACACAAUCCAACAUAUAAGCCACCACAAAGUUAUAGCCUGCAAACGAAAGAACCGAGUACAGCCACUUCUUUCCCAAAAUAAACUUGUAUCAUUGUUUUCAUCUAGAGAAGCCACUGGAAGACAAUUGAAAUUGAACAGUCAUAAGUUGACUCAUUGAAGGUGAUGAGCACAACAUUGUCAUUUGCAUAUGAAGUGGCUGAGAUGAACUCGCUGAAACUGGUCUUCUCGAUCACCAUCCUCCCAUGUUGCUUGCACAGCUUGAAAGAUGAUGGCAUGAUAACAUGUGUAUCACCCAGGUAAGCUUCCAGAGAGAUUCUAGCACUGAUUGGCAUGUCAACAAAGUUCCUCAAGCUAAAGACAACGAGCUUUGGAAUUUUCUAACAAUGAAAAUGAAAAAGUAUGGAUCAAAAAUUGCUACCCCAGAAAAAUCUUCAUCAAGACUAAACUUGCAUGAACAAAUCAUUUAGCACAACAAAAAUGUAAACAAAUAAAGAAAAAAUAGAAUGAAGCAGUAAAGUACAAAACUUACCAUGGUGAACUUCUCAGUAUUUGUGGCAGUCAUGACAUGCACGAACGGAACGCAGUGCACGAAGCUUGAAGUCCGGAAAAUUGACCGUACAAACAAGCGGUUGUUGUGAUAGUUGAACUCCAAGCCGCGUGGCAUCACAGCAGAGCAAACUAGCUCGUACCUUGCAUUGCUGAGGUUUUCAAAAGCUACAAAACGGAACACAUAUAAUGCAAAUGAGUUAACAUCUAUGAGAAAAAAUGCAACUAAAAAGGAGAAGAAAAAACAAUGCAGUUAAAAGGAUAAUAAACUACAAACAAAGGCAGAAAACCUCCCUAAAAGCACAAACUACAAAACUCAUGGUUAGAACUAAAAUUGCAACUUCACGCAACUUAAACUUGCAGUUAUUCCUCUAGAGCUACUAGAAAUACGAUAGUAUGAGAAUGUAGAUAUACAUUUCCACAAGAAACAGAAAUAAUGGGUAGCAUUAACAACACAUAACUACAUUGUCAUAAACAAAAGAAGUUAAAAGUAGAAGUAAAAGAAAACACCUCCCUAAAUGCAGAAUUCAGAUCGAUUCAUGAUUGCUACUGAAAAAUGCGUUUACAGGCAAGUAAAGUUGCAGUCAUUGUUUAACAGCAAACGAGCAUGAAAUAAAUUGAGAAAGACAAAAAAGACAACAAGGUAAGUACACAUUUCCGUUAACGAAGAGCUUAAACUAGAAGUAAAGCAGAACACCACUUUUUGGAAAAUUUAAAAAAAAUCAUAAUUACAACUAUAUUUGCAUCUUCAGAGUAAAGGGAGCAGGUCAAAGCUGCAAUACAAGAAAACUCACCAAUAGAAGGUAAAGGAAGAAUCCUUUCGCCAUCACGGAAAGUCUCUACUUUGAUGUCAAAGCAUGAGUUGUCCAGAGUAAAGACCACACGAUCUCCAGCGCGAAGGGCAUAAUCAUUGCUGAACUCAAACCAAGCACUGCCACAAAACUUUGAGUAGUUACCUCGAUGCUUAAAGUCUGAAGCAUAAGACCUACUCUCAUAGUGAGAAUAGCAGGCUCAGUCCUCUUGUGCUUGAAAGUUGUUGCAAUAUUCAUGUGCUCCUCGAUAUAAUCAGCUAAGAAACCCCUCACAUUGCAUGGUAUGUACUGAAAAAAAGCAUGAAACAAACCAAGAGAAAGUAAAAAUAUAGCAUAAAAACAAAAUUGCACAUCCAUCAUGCUUACAAAAAUUAGACAUUUAACAAAACAGCAAAACGAUCAUAUUAAUUAAGUUGAUAUCAUUAUUGACGGUUUAGAUGGAGGAAUCAAACUGCGUGGAUUACUGGAAGUAGAUACGUGGAGGAAAUCAAAACUACAUUCACAAACUAUAAGUACAGCAAAACACAAAGAAAUAAAAAAAGCACAUUCAUCACAAUUAAAAAAACACAUUUUACAACAUCAACUACUGAUAUUAACCUUGCUGUUAUUGAAAUUUAAAGUAUAGUGAGGUAGAUAUGUUGGUUUAACUAAAAGGCAUUUAAACUACAUAGAACUACAGAAACAACAACUCAUCCAUAAAAAUAAAAAAAUAGGAUUCGAACUACUAUCUUCAUGAAUACUGCACUUGUACACAGUUUGCGUGAACAUCAAUUUUGACAAGCAGGGAUUACUUGAACUACACACUACCUCAGUUCCCUACUAAAAUAAAAUAGAAUUUGCAAGCACAUACAAAGGUUAUGAACAAGAAUAAAAAAAUGUAAAGAGAUAAGAUGAAUACAACUCACCAUCCUCCUAAAGCAAUACUCAUCAAGGAUAACAUCGAAAACUUCUGGGACUUCAUCGGCUGGCACAAAUGGAAAGCAUGGGGCGCCAGGACAACGACAAACUAGGCAAACCAUAAUGUAAAAAAAGGGUUAUUCUACAUUAAUAACUUAAAAAAAUGAUAUUAUUCUCAAUUUAGAUGAUGAAAAAUAAUUACAAAUAAUAAAAGGAUAUUCUACAUUUCCCAACAGCAAAAGAUUCAAAUCAAUCUCACUGCUAUCAAGUGUAAACCUAGAAUCUAAAAGGCUAAUUCCUAAAAUUGAAAUACUCAAAUUAAAAAAAGUUGCACAUUCAUCAUACUAAAACUUCAUGCAUUACACAACAGCAAAAAAUAUAUGCAGGUAUUGAUCAUGGAAUAAUUACAUUAAGAUUUCAACCUAUAUGAACUACAAAUUACCUAACUCAAUUCAAUCAUAUAAACUACAAAAAGUUUUAUAGUCAUAAUACUAGAGUUGCACACAUUUCAUAAAAGCAAAAAAAUUCACAUCAAUCUUAGUGAUAUAAAGAGUAUAACCCUAGAAUCUAAAAGGCUAAUUCCUAAAAUUCAAAUACUGAAAUUUAAAAAGUUAUGCAUUCAUGAUACUAAAACUUGCACUCAUUAUGUAACAGCAAGAUUCAUAUAAAAUCAAUAAUUGAGAUGAUUGUAAAUGUGCUACAAAAUAAACACAACACAAACCUAAACUAGACAGAUUGACAUGAACAAAGAACUUAAACUAGAAGUAAGGCAGAACAUCACAUUUUGGAAGAAAUUAAAAAAAAUUCAUUAUUACAACUAAAUUUGCAUCUUCAGAGAGCUACAUUUACAUCACACAUUUUACAAAAAAUAGAAGGCACAAUAAACAAUUGCAUAGGACUAACCAAAGUAACAAGUAACAUUAGGUGUAAAUAUAGAAAUUAACAUGACAAAGAAACUUAAACUAGAAGUAAAGCAAAGCACCCACUGAAAAAUUCAGAAUUAUCUACCAGAUAACCAUAGCACCUACCUAGAAGUAGAAUUUAUAUUUCCAUAAACGACAAUUGAAAAAUGUGAAACAAGAACAAAGAAGUCAAACUAGAACAUCCCCCCAGCCCUUUUCAAAGCAUAGUUUAUAUUUUUACAGGACAAAAAAUGAUGUUUAACAUUAAUUAUAACAUGAACAAAAAACUACAAACGAAGGCAGAAUCCUCCCUAAAAGCACAAAUUACAAACUCAUGAUUAUAACUAAAAUUGCAACUUCACGCAACUUAAACUUGUAGUAAUUGCUAUAGAGCAACUAGAAAUACCAUAGUAUGAGCAUGUACAUAUACAUUUACACAUAAAUACAUUGUCAUAAACAAAGAAGUUAAAGUAGAUCUAAAAUAAAACACCUCCUUAAAUGCAGAAUUCAGAUCAAUUCACGAUUACUAACAAAAAAUGCAUUCACAGGCAGCUAAAGUUGCAGUCAUUGAUUAAGAGCAAACGAUCAUGAAAUAAUUCACAAAGAUAAACAUGUUACCAUUAACGAAGAACUUAAACUAGAAGUAAAGCAGAACACCACCUUUGUCAAAAUUUAAAAAGAAAUCAUAAUUACAACUAUGUUUGCAUCUUCAGAAAGCUAAACUUGCACACUAGAAACAAAUCAGAAAACUUGCACAAUUGCAUCUUCAGAUAUCUAGAUAUGCUUUCACAUCAGAAACAAUCAAAGAAAAGAUAAAAAUUGAAAAAAACUGACAAUUAUAUCUACUCACAUAAAGUGAGGAGUUCUAGAUUAGUUCAUAAAAGCUCAACUUUCAGAAGAAAAAAAUUCAACUAAAAUCACUUAGUCAUGCAUAUGUUCAGUUGAUUCUAAGGAACUUGCACAUCAAAAACCUACAGAAACUGCAGACUCAACACAGACAAACAUACAUCCACACUUGAAAAUUUAAUUGUGCAAAAAGGUCAAAUGGAUUCUAAAGAACUUGCACAUCAGAAAACUAUACAGCAACAGUCACCCCAUCUAUAUCUACUCAACAUGCAUGAUGAUAUCGAGCUACUACUAGGCCUGUAAAGUUCUACACAAAAGUGGACAUGCUUUCACAUCAGAAUUCCUCGAACAGCAAACUUAUACAUUAAUUCUCUAUCUAUUUGACCUAGAAUCUGCAUCAGAUUAACAAAUAUAGACACAAAAGUUUGCAUCUUUUGAGACAUGCAAGACACCAAGAAUAUCAAAAUAUAGAACUACUCAGACCUUGCACAUCAAAAAGCUUAAACCUACUCGGGUUCCUGGCUCUCCUCCUCCCAUUCAUAACUUAAAACAAAAUAUCAAAAAUGAAAAAUGAAAACCCUAAACCAAACCCGAUAUUGGAACAAAACCUAACAAACGCAUCUAAUUAAACAGAACAUAAACCUAGCUACUACUACUAGAACAAGAAAACAACCUCAAAAACCAAGAUCUGACAACUAAAAACAGAUAAAAACACUCGAUUUGAAUCAGAGAUAUGAGCAAGAAACCCUAAGUAAAACAGGAAAACAACACAAUAAUAAGAACCAAGGAGCACAAAUACCUCAAAAAGGACUAGAUGCAGCAACCGGGAUCCGUCAGCAGCUAAGCCCUCCGACUACAGACACCUGCAAAAACAAUACAGAACAACAACAGAAUCACCCACGCAGUCAGAUAUAGAGGAGAAAAGGGGUAAAACAAAGCAAGAAAACGCAAAUCAGAUGAACAAGAAUCCGCAGAUGGAGAAAAUCCAGCAAGAACGCCACGAAC